GAAGCAGAGCUGGAAGUGGAGUUGGUCAGGUUAUCCCCAUGGGUGGAGAAGAGGAGGCCCAGGAGGAGGGGGUAAAAAGAAGGUGGAGGAUCCUGGCUACCACUGAAUCCAAUACUGCUUAGCCUAGACCUCAGAGGCAUAAAAAGAGAAGGGUGUCUCAUCCCCCUUCCUCCUCUCCUCCCUCUCCUGAGCCUUAAGCCAUGGCCGAGGCAGGGGCUGGGCUGAGCGAGACCGGCACUGAGACAACGGUUACCGUGACAACCGAGCCCGAGAACCACAGCUUUCCCAUCAAACUUUGGAAACGGAAGCCAGAGAAAAAGGUGGAAUGGACAAGUGACACGGUGGACAAUGAGCGCAUGCGCCGCCGCUCAUCAAAAUGCUGCUGUAUUUAUGAAAAACCCCGGGCUUUUGGCGACAGCUCCACGGAACGUGAUGAGGAGGAAUAAGAGGGCUGUGGUCAUACACACUGUGUACGUGGCCACCUCAAAGGAUGGCGUCGUGCAACCCUGGGACCGACCCCCACCACGCCUUCCGGGCCUCCUGACCCUUCCCAGCCCCCAGCAGGGCCAUUGCAGCGCUAAAUUCCUCUUUCCCCCACCCUUCCUGAAUGUAUCCAUGUGGCUUCUUCUCCAGUACCCUCCUUCUCUUUCUUCUGCCUGACAGAGGGAAGAGGAAGAGGAGGGUAGACAGAUCCUGGAAUUCUGACUUGCUGCUAUUUCAGAACUCAGACUCCUGAGUUCCCCCAGUUCUCAUUUUUCCUCCCAAUACCCACCCUUCUCUCUCGAGGGAUCUAGGCACCUUGGUCCCAGCCUCUUCCUUUUGU